rnacentral:misc_RNA from 1 species
CGUUGUUUAAAACUUUAGUUUACUAAAUGAUAAAGCACAGUAGGUGGUUAAAUAAAAUGAAAAUCCAAACGAUAGAUACCGAUCUAUCAAAUUAUAGCACGCUAUGAACAUAAGUCAUUAAGUGUAAAUAUUUAAAAUCACGUCACAAAAACCUGAUAACAAAGACGUGGCACAUCUCAGUCAGGAAGAUUUUUGUCAUCUUCAAAAUUUUAAAACAUAUGCGUUCAUAAGAUAUACAUGACGAUCACUUUUAAAUCAGACAAUAUUUUUUAAUAUCUGUUAAGCGUCGCCGUAAUUGCUCUCCUUGUUGUGGACUAAUCCUAUUACUUCAUUCAUUAAACCGCACUAUAUAAAAAUAUUAGCCUUCUUGUUACAUAUAUAAAGAUUACACACAAACUGCAUUCAGUUUAUAAAGUCAAGCACAGUUCGACGUGGACACUUACAAAUUCUAACAAAGACCAUAAAUUCGAAGCACUACCAUUUUUCUUAUAACAUUUAACAAAAUAGCUCAAAUAUUCCGUAAAAAAUUUAAAUUAAAAUAAAAAAUUAAAAAGUUAUUAAUUUGACGUAAAAUGGUUGUGGCGGUUCAGGUUUUGCGACUACUUUGGAUUAGCCUUAUGUUAGUCUCGCAUACAAAAGAGUGCAUCAAACUUCUUAAUCGUAAUUGGAAACAAAAAACACCUGCCGAAAGAACUAAAGAUGCCGAAUUCGUUUUGACUGCUAAGAUCUUGUACACAACUCCAUCACCACGCUAUCCGCAAUUUUAUUCUGCAACAUUUGAAGUCUUAAACGUGCUCAAAGGAUGGGAAUUGAUAAAAAGACUUCAUAAUAAAAAAAGUACUUCUAUUAUAAGCUUGGAUCCAAAAAUUAUUGCGACUGCAAAUGGUUUUAGUGACAGCUUUCAACUCUGUUUUUCUUCCGUUGAAGUAGGAAAAACAUAUGCACUUUUUCUUGGGUACAAACGAGAAACCUAUGAGCUUGUAGCAAAGUAUGAUGAUCUCUUUGGUGCUGCAGAACAACUUUACAAACGUACAGAAAAAGAUAUUUUGGAGUCCUUAGGUUGGCGCAGUUGGAACGCUUGGACAAGUUGCAACAAACAAUGUGAUACAGGAAUUCAGACACGCACACGCUCGUGUUUAAAAGAAUCGCACAGUUUUUGUCAUGGUCUAUCCGAAGAAAAAAGAGAAUGCAAUACAUUUUCAUGUCUCACUUCAAAAGAUGCUUUAUUAAUUAUGAAAAAUUUAAGAGAAGAAUCAAAAAUAUUUGCUGAUCAAUGGAAAGCUCGAGAUGAAGCUUCUAGUAACACAAAAAAGAAAUCAGAUGUUCUUUCCGCUCCUUUCAAUUUUUUGUUUCCAGAUCAAUUCCCUAUUUCAAAUGUUCUUCAUAUAACUUUUAAAGGUCCGGUGAAGGACUCUCAAUUCAUUUUUAGCAUAUACAGCGCAAAUAAUAAGAUGAUAAUGGGAAUAAAAGUUUCGCCAUUUCAAUUUACCAUUGAAUAUGAUCAAGUCAUUAACAAUGCCGUUAACAUUCGACAUAGCAAUCCGUUCCAUUAUAGUUUUAUUCAAGAAAUGCUGUAUACUCUAGCAUUUGUAAUGAAUCAUGAAAACGUACGGUUUUCAAUAAAUUGCGAAGAAUUACACAUAAGCUCAUUGGAAGACGAACUGUUUCGUGACGCAGAUAUAUUCGGCAGUAUUUUUAUUGGCGCUGGUGAAGAUGCAGGAGAGGAAAGCAUACCAAAAGUGGAGGUUUCUCAUGUAUCUUUUUCAAGCGAUAGUGAAAGCAGAUGGCGUCAAUGUGGAAAAAUUAUUCUUGAACGACCGCAAAGAAGCUAUGACGCAAAAGGCUCUGGAUCGGAUAUUUUAAACGACGGAAGUGGAGCCAAUAACUUUGAUGGUGAUGAUGAAAAUGAUGACGAUGAUUAUGAAGACAAUUUCGACGAUGAUUAUAACGAUGAAGAUGAAAAAGAAAGCAAAAACUACAAAAAAACAGGUUCUGGAAAUGGAAAAGAAUGUUUAUGUCAAAACAACGGUAAGUGCAAAGAAGAUGGUACUUGCACGUGCCAAAAUGGAUGGAAUGGCGAUUUGUGUGAACUACCAAUAUGUAUACUCCCAUGUCUUAAUGAAGGUAAUUGUUCAAAGCCAAAUACUUGCACAUGCAAAGCCGGCAUCAGCGGAAAUUAUUGCCAAUUGAGCGAAUGUUCUUAUCCUUGCGUACACGGGGUAUGUGUUGGACCAAACCAAUGUCGAUGUGAACUAGGCUUUUCUGGUUUACAAUGCGAUAAAUGUUGCAACAUGUGAGAAUUUGUGUCUUAACGGGGGAACAUGUGUGGACAAUGUAAGCUGUAAAUGUCCAGCUGGAUUCAAGGGCGCUCGAUGUGAGGAAACCGAUAAAUGUCGGCGUUAUUACACUAAGUUGGUA